UACGUAGGGGGCAAGCGUUGUCCGGAUUUAUUGGGCGUAAAGAGCGUGUAGGCGGCUAGGUAGGUCCGUUGUGAAAACUCGAGGCUCAACCUCGAGACGCCGAUGGAAACCAUCUGGCUAGAGUCCGGAAGAGGAGAGUGGAAUUCCUGGUGUAGCGGUGGAAAUGCGCAGAUAUCAGGAGGAACACCGGUGGCGAAGGCGGGUCUCUGGGCAGUAACUGACGCUGAGGAGCGAAAGCGUGGGGAGCGAACAGG
rnacentral:rRNA from 1 species